rnacentral:lncRNA from 1 species
ACGGGCUGGUGGGAAAGCUGCUGACCAGCAAGGUCAUGAGCUCCCUCCUCUCUGCAAGUGUCUCAAGGCCAAAGACAGGCUGGUGAGAAAGCUCGGACCAGCAAAGCCAUAUGCUCCCCCUCCCCUACCUAAAGCCCCAAAUAAAAACCCUUCCUUUUAGCUUUUCGGGGAGUUUGGGAUUUGAGCGUUAGCUGCCCUCUCUCCUUGCUCAGCGCCGCUGUGCAAAAAAAUAAAAUUCCUACUUUCUUCCACCACACCCGGUGUCAGAGAUUGGCUUGCUGCGCAACGGAUUAGCCCUCAGCUAACUACUGCCAGUCCUCCUCUUUUUGCUGAGGAAGCCUGGCUCUGAGCUAACAUCCGUGCCCAUCUUCCUCUAGUUUAUACGUGGGACGCCUACCACAGCAUGGCUGCCAAGCAGUGCCAUGUCCGCACCAGGGAUCCGAACCAGCGAACCCCGGGCCGCCGAGAAGCGGAAUGUGCGAACUUAACCGCUGCGCCACCGGGCCGGCCCCUUAACUUUUCUCUUUUUUAUAAGGAGAGAACAAAUCUUUUGAGAUGCUCCAAGUGAUGCGGGGUCGGUGAGCCGAGGAGUCGAAAGAAAGAUUUCUUAGACUCUCAAGAUCUGGCAGUAGUGCUCUUUUAUUUAGAGAAUAGUGUGGAAUAGCAUGGGGACAGGACCCAUGGGCAGUCAGAGCUUCUGCUGCCGCCGCUUCUGCUGCCCCCGCUGGCAUGGGGACGGAGCCCAUGGGCAGGCAGAGCUUCUGCUGCUGCCCCCGCUGGCAUGGGGACAGGACCCAUGGGCAGGCAGAGCUGGUGCGUGGGGACAGGACCCACGGGCAGUCAGAGCUCCUGCUGCUGCCCCGAGUUGAGGGUUAGGGCUAAAUUUAAGGCAUAGGUAUAUGAUUCAUCUCUUUACAAGACAAAGGAAAGAACAUGAAAAAAAGUUAAAAUGGUAUCAGUGCAGGUGGGGUCUGGUCAUUGGGUGAUCCCAUGACUUUUAGACAAGAAUCAAAUCGGAUUAAGUAAAGGUUAGAAGGGUUAGACACCACCACCCUAAACCAGUUACAUGAGAUUGCCAGACAGCAACCAACUUAAGUUCUUGCCUUCCCCAUUAAGAGCUUCUAGAGAUAAGACCAUUCCCCCUUCUUCCUGGCACAGAGAGGGAGGCAUCUUCACAGAUAGAGGUUUCCCUUAGAAAUGUAAAUGUUUCCCAACAAAGGGGCAAACAAAUUCCACUCCUUGGAGCCUGAAUCUCAUCUGUAGUUUUAAAACUAACCAGCCUAAAAAUCCUCAUCAUAAGCCAUUUUAAAAUUAAGCAGCCUAAAAAUCCUCAUCACAAGGACUGUCUGGAAAACCCCAACGUUAGUUCGAGGUCAAAAAAACUAUUUAGAAUUUGAUUUGGGGGAAAUUUUUAAAAAAUAUCCAUUUAACCAAAGUGACAAUUAAAGACCUCUAAGGCAAAUACAGAAAGUUACAUACUUGCAAUGAAAAAAAACCCCAAACAACGCUUAGCGCUUUUGAUAUUGACAAGACCGGGUUUUCGUAAGUAAUCAAGGACCUGAUAAAGACAAUGUAAAGCACAGUGAAUUAUUUUGGUAAGACACAAAAUCUUUGCCUUCCAGGCAGAUUACUUAAAAGGUAAAGAAAAACCUUUGUUUACAAUUUCUUACUAAGAGCAGACUAAUAAUCUAAGGAAAGUUUGUCCUUUUAACAGAGAGAAAACCAAAUUCUAAUUUUGCACUGUGGGGACCUGGAAUUGGCCACCCCAAGAUAUGUCUCUUUGGCAUCAGGAUUAUUUGAGGUUGAUUGCUUUUGAUAAACUGGGACAGGGAAGGAGGCUCUGAGGAAUGGAACUUGCCCUUUGUUAGGACACGUUUACAUUUGUAAGGUAAAUCUCUAUCUGUAAAAGGUGCCUCCCUCUCUGUACCAGGAAGAAGAAAGGAGAUGACCUUCUCUCUAGAAACUCUUAAUCAAUGCCAAAGGCAAGGACUUAAAAAUCUGCAUUUUAUUGUGCUAGUCUGGUAACCUCCUGUAACUGACUUCCCUCCCCCUCCCAACAUUGGCAUUCCUUAAGGAUUAAGCAUCUUUCCUUAGGCUAGGAACUGAUUGCUGCUGCACUCAGCUGUGACCGCCCAGCUCCAGACAUAGACUUGCCUCCUGCUACGCCCACUGAGAUAGCAGACCAUUACCUGCUGUGUCCAUCAAGCGCUGUGCCGACAGGGCAAUCUUGUGACUAUUGUGGCAGGGACAUUUCAAUCACAUGUGAAACACCCCGUUUGGGGGUAUAUAACCACUGUGUGCACCCCACUUCUUUGGUGCCCUUUCUUCCUUCGGGAAGAAAGGCCCCGGGCCACGGUUCCUCAUAAAGCUUUGUUUAAUUUUCUCUUGCUAUUCUGUCUCAUGUGAUUUUAAUUUGUUCUCCAGCCAGACGAACCCCCAUUUGGGGAGAGGAAAUGUCCUCCUCCCCUACAGCACCAAUGUACCUUUGAUAUUAAAACUCAUUUUUUAAAAAUUCUUUUUUUAUUGCAGUAACAGUGGUUUAUGACAUUAUAUAAAUUUCAAGCGUACGUCAUUAUAUAUUUUGAUUUAUGUGUAGAUUACAACCUGUUCACCACCCAAAGACUACUUACGGUCCAUCACCACACACGUGUGCCUAAUCACUCCUUUUGCCCUCUCCCCUCUGGUAACCACCAAUCCAAUCUCUGCUUUUAUGUGUUUGUUUGUCAUUGUUUCUAUCUUCUACUUAUGAGUGAGGUCAUACACUAUUUGACUUUCUCCCGCUGACUUAUUUCACUUAGCAUAAUGCCCUCAAAUCCAUCCAUGUUGUCACAAAUGGCUAGAUUUCAUCGUUUCUUAUGGCUGAGUAGUAUUCCAUUGUGUAUACUGUGGGGGCCUAGAAUUGGCCACCCCAAGAUAUGUGUCUUUGGCAUGAUGAUUAUUUGAGGCUGUUUUCUUUGCAGACAGAAAAGCAACUGAAAAGUAGAACUUGCUUACCCUUUUGUUAAGAGACAUUUACAUUGUAAAGAAAAACUCCAUCUGUAAAGAUAUCUCCCUCUCUACCAGGAAGAAGGGGAGAUGACCUUAUCUCUAGAAACUCUUAAUCAAUGGGGAAGGCAAGGACUUAAAUCUGCAUUUGUUUAUUGUGCUUGUCUGGUGACCCUCUGUAACUGACUCCCCCCACCCCCAACAUCCUCCUUUGUCUUCAGCUGGAUAUGAUAUUUCAGCUGUGGGGGUUUCGGCCAUUUUGGUGAGUUGCUCAGCUUGCCUGAGCGUCUCCCAUCUAUACAUUGACAAAUAGAAAUGGCAAGCAGUAAGAUAUAUUGGAGUACGUGAGGAAGCCAUUUGGUGUAAACCUAAUUUGGUGUGACUUUGCUAUUUUUUCCAAAAGGGCCUGACUGUGGUCAUUGAGCACACAUUGUAUAUCUGCUUUAAAACAUUUCCUAUGGCAAGAACAAAGGCCCUUGAGAUAAAGGUGCAACUUCCCUCCUCCUGCCAACGUUGGCAUCUCCUUAAGGAUUAAGCAUCUUUCCUUAGGCUAGGAACUGAUUGCUGUGCUCACCUGUGACCACCCAGCUCGAGACAAUAGACUUGCCUCCUGCUGCGCCUGCCGAGAUAGCGGAGCCGCUACCUGCUGUGUCCAUCAAGCGCUGUGCCCGACAGAGCAAUCUUGCGACUAUUGUGGGAGGGACAUUUCAAUCAUACAUGAAACAUCCUGUUUGGGGGUAUAUAACCACUCUGUGCACCCCACUUCUUUGGUGCCCUUUCUUCCUUCGGGAAGAAAGGCCUCAGGCCAUGGUCCUCAUAAAACUUUGUUUAAUUUUCUCCUGCUAUUCUGUCUCAUGUGAAUUUAAUUCGUUCUCCAGCCAGACGAACCCAGAGAUGGUAGAGGAAAUGUCUUCCCCCUCUACAAUACAUACCACAUCUUCUUUAUCCAUUCAUCCCUUGAUGGACACCUAGGUUGCUUCCAAGUCUUGGUUAUUGUGAAUAAUGCUGCGAUGAAUGUAGGGGUGCAUAUGUCUUUAUGUAUUUGUGUUUUCAUGUUCUUUUGAUAAGUACCCAGCAGUGGAAUAGCUGGAUCAUAUGGUAGAUCUAUUCUUAAUCUUUUGAGGAAUCUCCAUACUGUUUUCCAUAGUGGCUGCACCAGUUUAAAACUCGUUUUUUUUAAACUUAAAUCCAUUCCAAUCUUAGCCAGCUUGAACACACGUAAAAUUCUUUCCCAAAGUUUCCUUUUCUAGAAAACUUCGACAACUUUUUUAUAUGCAUUCAGGUUUUGUCCAAUGUGUUUUUGCCUUCUUUCUCAUCCUGGAACAACCAGUUGUUUUACUUUAGGGCAAAUUACUCUCUUUUUCCUUUAACAAAACACAGCCCCAUGCCCCGUACCUUUUCUCACCAAAAACACAUUCUACUUUCCUUGCAUAGAGAUGUUACCCUUAUUAUUUCUAUAAGUUUUAAUUACAUAUAUUUAUUAGAAUUCUUAACCUUUAGAAUCCUUAAUUCCUAGUGAAAACUAAGAAGUAAGCAAUCUGUGGACUGUCUGUUGCACUAGUAUUUUGGGGAUACCAAAUUUAUAAAUACAUCUCAUAAUUUCUAGAAGUGUAUUCUUCCUCAUAGUAAUUUUUACAAUGUGGCACAAAACAUGUUUACUAAUAGACCCAGGUAUCUUUCUAAAGUUCCUCUGUAAAAGGAAGCCAAAAGUGGAUAAACUUAUGUUCAGCAGUUAACAUUUCAUUAUUUUAUCUAAUUUCUAAAUGAUCUAGAUACCCAGUGAACAUCCAUGAUUUAACUUAUCUCAAUAUAACUUUGAGGUUUCAAGUUACCAAAAAGAUUUUGGAAAGUAUUUUUAAGUAGACAUACCGUAAAGCACAAUUAUUAUUGAAAAGUUCAUUUGUAAACUUUUACUUACAUCUUUUAAAUUUAUUUGUUCUUAACAAGUAUGUUUCAAUUACUCAUGAGAAUUUCAUGAGACAUUUAACAGCUAACCGUUGUCUUGUUAUCCUUCUCGCUUGCAAAUUCCGAUGUGAGCUUGACUUUCAGUAACCCUGGGCAGAAUAGAAGUUGUAUCUCUGCUGUAUAUUUAGUGGUGAUAACUCAAAAGACAUGACUGUCUUAAUUAAACCAACACAUUUAAACUAGCUUUUUUCCCCCAAAGAUUAUCCUAGAUCACAUGAACUUGAAAAACAUUUGGGUUAGUUUUCUGUAUUUCUCAGAGUAUACUUGAUUUAUAUAAACAUUUACAUUUCUUUAAGCCAAUUAAAUAGAGCUUUUUACAAGUUAAUUUUGGCAAUAGCAUCCAGAGGUAGAAAAAAUCACACAUCUCUAAUAGACAUAUAUAGACAUACAUAAGCACACAGAUGCAAACAGAGAUCUUAUAGCUUUUGUUUUAAAAUUUUGGCAAUGAGAUUGGUAUCAUAAUGCAAAACUCAUUAUUUUAUAACAGAAGAGUUGGAUUCAAAUUGUGUUUUGACAGACAGAAUAAUUUAAGUUUACCUAUUCAGAUGGCUUAAACAUUUUAGUAAUAUUUGUGAAGAAUGCUUUUAACAUUUUUCAUUUGCCUAGUCCCUAAGUAGCAUUUCCCCUUUUUUUCUCCCUUCUCAUAAGAAUUACCUCCCCGAAGUUUGCAUCUCAAACAGAUGGCCCUCAGUACCUAGAGAAGACUGGUUAGAAUAUUUACAUCUCAAAUGUCAGAGAAAGAAUGCAAAUUCCUCCAAGAAAGACUUUUGUUUUCUAAACUCAUAAUUUUUACAAUGCCUGCAAAUCUUCUGAGAUGAAUAGGGGAGUUUUGGGGGGUUGGUAGAGAGGACAGGCGGGCUUUUUCUGUUCCUGUGAAGACUUGAGUUGUAAGACAAAAACAGCUGUUUUUAAUUCCUCAGAGAAUUGCAUUGCAACCUGAAUGGCCUCGAGGGGCUGACCCAACCAUCCAAUUACAUUAUCUUCAAUUUGCUUCUUUACACAUGGGAGAAGAUCUUCAAUGAAGGUGCAAAUCAAAAGAUUCCUAUUUUCUAGAAUUAGAGCUGUUUGUCUUUGGAAUUUUUUUUCUUCUUCUGGGUACCUACUUUCCUUUUAGCUUGGGGGUUAAGACCUAAAAAAAAGUUUCUGUCAGGCUCUGAAUACCAGCUUCCCAUUUGGUCAACUUCUAACCAUAGAGCUACAUUAAAAAAAAAAAAAAUCUUUUUGAAUGUUUUGUCAAAUUUCAACCAGGACAAAGUAAAUAUUCCUGGCAGUAUUGAACAAUCUCAUGGAUGCGAGAGGCAUCUCCAAAGAGGGUGCAAAAGAUACUACCCUCCCAAGAUCCAGACCCACUUCCAAAGAUAGUCAAAAGAGAGAAGGACUUAGACAAUUCCCCUAACAGCUGGCAACAGUUGGUAGGACCCUAACUGCAACCCACAUUUCUGGUCAGCCAUAUUUUUAGGCCCCCAACCUCAUGGUUGAGCUGUCUGCAGAUGCAAGAACUGACAACCUGCAUACCCCAGGCAGCCAGAAAUCCAAGCCAAGUUCUCAGGACACAAAAUGAGACAAACAAGAAGGCAAUGGCUGUCCUUGGAAAAGAGAGAAUCAAUAACCAACGGGGAACCCAAAAGCAAAUUCACAAGAGUUUGGAUUUGGAAAGGAAGAGACAAUGUGAAAUUUUAUCUUCUUUUCUCAACCGGGCACUACAGAGAUCCAGAAGAGCUGACACUGAUAAGAAUUCUCACCCUUUGCAGGCUUCUGCCAGUUUGCCCAGGAUCCCAUCUGCAACCUCCAGAGCGAGUGAGGUUUAAAGCAGAGGGUGUAGUCUCCCAGUAUCUACCAGAAUUUGGCAAGGUUUUCCAUUAAUUUUAAUUUUAGUUUCUCUUUGGCUGUAGGAAAUAAUUGUUAGCAGUUUACCAGAGACUCCCUCAGAGUCCCAUCAACCCUGGCAGGGGUCCAUAUGGGGGGCCUCCUUUGAGGGUAGAUAUGGGGGUGUUCAAGUUUGUGUGGACGGAUUUGACAAAACCUUCAAGGACAAUCUUUUUUUCCAGUGUCCUGGUUGAUUGCAAAUAAGACAGUCAAUUCUGGGCCAGCGUUUUGGUGAUAAACCGCUUAGGACGGUGCAGCACAGGAUGCCCGGGCGUUUUAGGGAUCUGGCCUUGGAGCUUUGCAGCUGUACAGUGACUAACCGGGUUGACUUCUGUUUACCUUGCAGUCUUUUCAGAGUGAAAAGGCAAUUCAGAUAGAGGAUCAGUAGACUGAGUACUCAGGUAAAGGAAGAUCAAGGGGAAUAGUAGGAGUCAUGUCAGUCUUAUACUUUUUUUGUAGGUGCCUUUUAUUCUUUAGUUUUUUAUUAGCCUGUUGCGCUGAAUCUUUCAAUGAAGCUAUUUUUGAAUCUCGAAGACUUUUGGAGGCUUCUGCAUGCCUAUUAAAACAGAUAUCCCAGUCUGUUAGCGUGAUUUGGGAGCCCUUGCUUUCAAGUACACUUCUUUUAAAUGAAUGAUCUUGUCUAAUUAGAGCAUCCCCCACAAUGGCCGUUGUAACUCAAGGUCGCCUUAGUAGGAUUUGGUCAUUUUUGUAAAUAUUCACAGCUUCUAGGACCACAGCUCUUAGAUAUAAAAUAAGCAGGUGCGCUGGAAGGUGGUGCCCUCAGUUCUUUGAAACUUGAGGAUCCCAUUUCUUCUGCAAGCCUUGGGUCUCUUGGAGCCAAAGUAAGAGAGAUGUGCCACCGGGUUGGGAACUGUGUGGUGUUUUACAGUGUACCUUGUUGUAUGGAAAUGUUCUUGAGGGUGGUAAGUAACCUAGUGUCACUCUAACCUGUUCUGUGACCAACUUAUCCUAGCAUAAGAGUCUUAGAACUAGGUGGCAAGAGCCCUAGCAGCUUUUAAGUACUUGACCUCUUCCCACAAAUUUUGCGGGUUUGGCUUCUGAGAUUCCCAUUAACAAUAGACCUAUUAUUCCUUUACCUGGCGCACAUUAGCAGAAAUCAACAGUAACCAAGGAAAAGGAACUGUGGACACCAGCAGUAGCCAAAGAGAUGGUUCUGUGAACUGGCCAAGAGAGGCCUAAGGUACAUACCAACAAAACCAGUAUUUCUCAACACAGAACUCUGGAAUGAACCAGCAGAGCCCAAUAAAUCGGGACUGCGGACUAACCAAGGGCUAGGGACUCAGGUUCUGAGUGGAACCGUCUGGCAGCUCAAAGUGACCCUAAACCCUGGACUGGAAACUUGGACUAACCAGAGGCUAGCACAUGAGCUCUGUUAGAGGCUUCUCUCAGUCUAGACUAACCCUGGACUGGAAAGCCAAUUAGAUCAGGAGCUCAACACAGAGAGCGCAGCUGGGAUCCAACAGGAACUUAGCCACCGCUCUCAGAAAUGGCAAGAAAGACAGAGAACUCAGAGUUCAGUGGGUACCAGCAACUGUGUUUGUCAUUGUCUCAGAGGAUGUCAGAAGUCACCUUUGGAUUCCAUUACUGCCAGCAAAGUGUUAAAAAGCAAAAUUCAACUGAGUAAAAUGUAAAGAUCUUAUUGGCUUUAUUGAAUGAUUUAUUCAAUGAUACAUGAAAUGAGCAGCAUCUAACAUAGCAAAUCGAAAGGAGCUCUAAGGAACUGGACAAAAUAAAAGGCUUUUAUAGACAAGGGGAGCAGGAACAAGGAAGUUAUACUAGGCAAAAAAGUGGAUUGGUUAUUGCAAGGUUACUUUCCUUUAGGGCAUGGCAGGGGUCUAUCAGGGAUCCGAGCUGAGGGGAAGGUGUGUGUCGGUAAGGGGGUGGAGGGGUGGGUCUCUGCCUGACCUCCAAAAGAACUAUACAUGUCCCCAAGAGAACCAGCGUUUGGUUCAUGCAAGGGACUUCAGCAUCUAUGAGGAGACUUCUACAGUCCUUUCAGGUGUUGUCCUUAAUCCCUCCUCCCCACCCCAACCCUCGGGGAGUUCAAAGCAGAAGGAGCAGGAGGAGAGAAAGAAUAUCUGGCUGUGAUAGUUGGGAAGGGAGCAUAGGAGCCCUAAGAUGGAAUAACUUGAGGAUUUAAACCAUUCUAGACUGAAUGGGACUUUUUCGAGCAUCUAAGUUUUCUCCAACCUUUUAUUUGGAAAAAUUUCAAACAUAAGGUGAGUUGAAACAAUACAAAAAUGUUAGCAUACUCUCCACCUAAACGCGAUAAUGGUAGCAUUUUGUCACAUUGGCUUUAUCUCUACCUCUACUUUUAUUUUCUGAACCAUUUGAAAGUAAAUUGUAGGCAUGACACUUCAUCCCCAACUGCUUGAGCCCUCGCCUCCUAAGAAUAAAGACAUCACCCUAUACAAUCACAAUACCAGUAUCACACCUAAGAAAAUCAACAACAAUGCCAUAGUGUCAUUAAUAUCAUGGUUUAUACAUGAGAACACCUGAAAGAGAUCAACAGGCUGUGGGAUCUGCCCUGGAUGCAUCAUGAGACAGGAAAGAGAGAUUUGACAGGAAUGUUUGAAGGCAGUGAUUGAUCACGAAAUAAAACCUUAUAACAUAACUAGAGAACUUUCUAAAAAACAGACACCCAAAACAUUUUCUUUUUUGAGGAUCCACUGUGGGCUAAGUACUCUUCAUGCUUUAUCUCAGUGAAUCCUCUCAACUUUUUGAGAUGGGUACUAUUAUAUUAAUUUUACAGGUGGGGAAGCAGAAAUUCAGAAAAUUUGAGUCACUUGUCCAAAGUUACAAAGCUAG